rnacentral:rRNA from 1 species
CCUACGGGCGGCAGCAGUGGGGAAUAUUGCACAAUGGGCGCAAGCCUGAUGCAGCCAUGCCGCGUGUGUGAAGAAGGCCUUCGGGUUGUAAAGCACUUUCAGCGGGGAGGAAGGCGUUAAGGUUAAUAACCUUGGCGAUUGACGUUCCCGCAGAAGAAGCACCGGCUAACUCCGUGCCAGCAGCCGCGGUAAUACGGAGGGUGCAAGCGUUAAUCGGAAUUACUGGGCGUAAAGCGCACGCAGGCGGUCUGUCAAGUCGGAUGUGAAAUCCCCGGGCUCAACCUGGGAACUGCAUUCGAAACUGGCAGGCUAGAGUCUUGUAGAGGGGGGUAGAAUUCCAGGUGUAGCGGUGAAAUGCGUAGAGAUCUGGAGGAAUACCGGUGGCGAAGGCGGCCCCCUGGACAAAGGCUGACGCUCAGGUGCGAAAGCGUGGGGAGCAAACAGGAUUAGAUACCCCGGUAGUC